rnacentral:rRNA from 1 species
UACGUAGGGGGCAAGCGUUGUCCGGAUUUAUUGGGCGUAAAGAGCGUGUAGGCGGCCAGAUAGGUCCGUUGUGAAAACUCGAGGCUCAACCUCGAGACGCCGAUGGAAACCAUCUGGCUAGAGUCCGGAAGAGGAGAGUGGAAUUCCCGGUGUAGCGGUGAAAUGCGCAGAUAUCGGGAGGAACACCUAUGGCGAAGGCAGCUCGCUGGGACGUUACUGACGCUGAGACGCGAAAGCGUGGGGGAGCGAACAGG